UACAGAGGGUGCGAGCGUUGUCCGGAAUCACUGGGCGUAAAGGGCGCGUAGGCGGCUUGGUAAGCGUGCGGUGAAAGCUCGGGGCUCAACCCUGAGUCUGCCGUGCGAACUGCCGAGCUGGAGCACGGUAGAGGCACAUGGAAUUCCGGGUGUAGCGGUGGAAUGCGUAGAGAUCCGGAAGAACACCGGUGGCGAAGGCGGUGUGCUGGGCCGUUGCUGACGCUGAGGCGCGACAGCGUGGGGAGCAAACAGG
rnacentral:rRNA from 1 species